rnacentral:rRNA from 1 species
GAUGAACGCUAGCUACAGGCUUAACACAUGCAAGUCGAGGGGCAGCAUGAACUUAGCUUGCUCAGUUUGAUGGCGACCGGCGCACGGGUGAGUAACACGUAUCCAACCUGCCGAUGACUCGGGGAUAGCCUUUCGAAAGAAAGAUUAAUACCCGAUGGCAUAGUUCUUCCGCAUGGUAGAACUAUUAAAGAAUUUCGGUCAUCUAUGGGGAUGCGUUCCAUUAGGUUGUUGGCGGGGUAACGGCCCACCAAGCCUUCGAUGGAUAGGGGUUCUGAGAGGAAGGUACCCCACAUUGGAACUGAGACACGGUCCAAACUCCUACGGGACGCAGCAGUGAGGAAUAUUGGUCAAUGGACGAGAGUCUGAACCAGCCAAGUAGCGUGAAGGAUGACUGCCCUAUGGGUUGUAAACUUCUUUUAUACGGGAAUAAAGUGAGGCACGUGUGCCUUUUUGUAUGUACCGUAUGAAUAAGGAUCGGCUAACUCCGUG